CAGAAAGUAGUUUAGUUAAAAUAAUAAUUUUGGAGAUUAUUGAUAAAGUUAUUUACUUUUUUUCUGA
rnacentral:tRNA from 1 species